rnacentral:lncRNA from 1 species
UUUAGUUCUCUUCUUUCAUCAUGUUCUCUACAACAGAUCCUCCAUAAUAGUAGCUUCACCAUACUUUGUGAUACAUGUCGGAUGAAGCUUCAUAGCAUAGUACACUGAAUCGAAGGGCAAAGAUGCAACGUUACAACCAAUUGCAUUAGGAUAGACUUUUUAUAUACACUAUACACGACCAAAUAAGGCAAUUUUAAUCAACUUUGACAACUGAAUACAAAGCUAUAAGUACAAGUCAUGAACUAACUCAAGCUAACAGAUCUGCUCUAGCUCGACCACACAAAUUGACAACUAAUUGCUAACGAAUUUGAUGUGGACACUUCAGGCCUUGAAGCUGGAAUUUUAAUCUCACAGCUCGCCUACCAGUUGAAAAAUAAAGCUCUUCUGUUACAGUCUGUAGAGCAUUGUGUUCAAGAACAAUCAUGCAUAUAUUUUUUAACUUUUCUGUUUCGGGAUAGGUUAUACUGAUAAAAUUAUUGUCUCAACAUGUUUAUUCCAACUGCACCUCAUGAACCGAUAAGCUUUCCAGACCGUUGAAGUUAUGAUAGCAGCCAGGCUAACCAUUUCAUUUCUGUGUGAAAGUGAACAACUUCCAUCACCAUAAUUUUUAUCUCAGUUUCUGUGUGGAAGUGAACAUGACGAACCCUCUUGAAGUAAUUUUGCAACAUGCUAGCCUUGUAUAAGUUACAACUGUCAGUUUUGGAGAAUACUGCUGGAACUCUCUUAUGGUUUAUGGCAACACGUCGGAUCUUAGGGUGAAUCCAAAAUUUAUUUGGAAGCUUUGGAAUAUAUGGUGUAUAAAUGGAUUCAUUAUUUAUUUUUUAUUUUUUUGUUUGGAAGGCUGUCUUACUGUGAAUUUGAUGAAAUUGCAAAAUCUAUUUGAUUUAUUAAUAAAAAUUCUCUCGGGUCAAUCUGCUG